GAUGAACGCUGACAGCAUGCUUAACACAUGCAAGUCAACUGUGGCGGACGGGUGAGUAACGCGUAAAGAACUUGCCUCACAGAUAGGGACAACAUUUGGAAACGAAUGCUAAUACCUGAUACUGUGAGAGAGCUUUGCGUCCCAUUAGCUAGUUGGAGAGGUAACGGCUUACCAAGGCGAUGAUGGGUAGCCGGCCUGCGAGGGUGAUCGGCCACAAGGGUACGGGGACACCGCCAUUACUCCUACGGGAGGCAGCAGUGCGGAAUAUUGGACAAUGGACCAAAGUCUGAUCCAGCAAUUCGGUGUGUACGAUGAAGUUGUCGGAAUGUAAAGUGCUUUCAGUUGGGAAGCAGUACCAACAGAAGAAGUGACGGCUAAAUACGUGCCAGCAGCCGCGGUAAUUC
rnacentral:rRNA from 1 species